AACGAACGCUGGCGGCAGGCUUAGCACAUGCAAGUCGAACGCCCCGCAAGGGGAGUGGCCGACGGGUGAGUAACGCGUGGGAAUCUACCCAUCCCUACGGAAUAACGCAUGGAAACGUGUGCUAAUACCGUAUACGCCCUACGGGGGAAAGAUUUAUCGGGGAUGGAUGAGCCCGCGUUGGAUUAGCUAGUUGGUGGGGUAAAGGCCUACCAAGGCGACGAUCCAUAGCUGGUCUGAGAGGAUGAUCAGCCACAUUGGGACUGAGACACGGCCCAAACUCCUACGGGAGGCAGCAGUGGGGAAUAUUGGACAAUGGGCGCAAGCCUGAUCCAGCCAUGCCGCGUGAGUGAUGAAGGCCUUAGGGUUGUAAAGCUCUUUCACCGGAGAAGAUAAUGACGGUAUCCGGAGAAGAAGCCCCGGCUAACUUCGUG
rnacentral:rRNA from 1 species